rnacentral:rRNA from 1 species
UACGGAGGGUGCAAGCGUUAUCCGGAUUCACUGGGUUUAAAGGGUGCGUAGGAGGGCAGGUAAGUCAGUGGUGAAAUCUCCGAGCUUAACUUGGAAACUGCCAUUGAUACUAUCUGUCUUGAAUAUUGUGGAGGUUAGCGGAAUAUGUCAUGUAGCGGUGAAAUGCUUAGAUAUGACAUAGAACACCAAUUGCGAAGGCAGCUGGCUACAGGGAUAUUGACACUGAGGCACGAAAGCGUGGGGAUCAAACAGG